CAUGGGUUUGAUCCCCUGCCUUAGAACUUCUGUGUGCUGUGAGUGUGACCGAAAAAAGAAUUUAACUCACUGGUAUCUAUUGUUGAACUUUUGGGUUUUGCAAACCACCAUUUUGGAAACUUUGAUAUUCUUCAUUAUAAUAGAAAUGUGACAUCAAUUUAGAUAUGUGCUCUAUAUGAUGUUUGUCUUUCUCUUUCUGACUUAUUUCACUCAGUAUGAAAGAGCCGUGUAGCACUGGGAACUAUGUCUAGUCACUUAUGAUGGAGAAAGAUAAUGUAAGAAAAAAGAACGUGUACAUGUAUGUAACUGGGUCACCAUGCUGUACAGUAGAAAAUUGACAGAACACUGUAAACCAGCUAUAAUGGAAAAUAAAUAAAAAUCUUCUAUAUAUAAAAAAAAAAGAAUAUGUGCUCCAGAGCUCCAAUACUGAAAACUGUUUUUUUUUUAAAGAAAAUUCAUCCAGAAUUGAAUUCUGUUUUAAUGUAAUAUACUUAUUUGCUAAGAAUUUGAAAUUGAUUUUAAAAAUAUUAGCUUUCUCAAUGAGUAUGAUCAAUAUUUGUGAAACUUUCAAAUCACAUGGGUCAGUUUAUUACCUUCGAUUUCUACUCCUGCCUGCAGUAAGCUUGCCUGUCUUGAACCAAUCCUUUCUUUGUUUUCUGCCUCAUUACCAUGUGUGUUCUCCCUCCUAUCAGAAGCUGUCUCUUUCAACUGAACCUCCAGGUUCUAUACCCUUCUGCUUCCUCUAUACUCUAAAACUUUCUAUUAUAGCUUACCUCUUUCUUUCUAGUAACUAUCUUUAAUAUGAAAAUAUGCUUACAUCUAUUAUAUCUAAUGGAAUUAUUCCCACUCAAGCCUUAGCCACCUGCCUCUACUCCCCUGUUUUAUUUUCCUUCUGUUCACAGCCUCAUUUCUUGAAAUAGCAGUUUAUUCUGAAUGUUUCCAUUUUAUCACCUCUAAUUAACUCUUCAACUCAUAAGCUUUCUAUUCUCACUACUUCCUUGAAAUUCCUCGUAUCAUGUUUAUCUCUGUAUCACUAAGUCUACACGUCACUUGAGCUUAGUUUUUUUUUUUCCCCUAAAGUUGGAAGCCUUUGGAGAGUUAUGAACAGAAUAAUGACAUCACGUUACUUAUACUUUAUUAAGGUCACUCUGAAAGGUGUAAGUGCGAGGGCAGAAAGGCCAGUUAGAAUGCUAGUAAAAUAGUAUUUAUUAGAUAUAAUGGUGGCUUAAAUACCAAUAUGGUAGCAAUAUAAAUAGUGAAAAAUGGUCAGAUUCUGGAAAUAUUUUCAAGGCAGAGUUAAUCGAAUUUGCAGAUGAGAUGGAGAUCGAGUGUGAGAAAAAAGGAGUCAGGAGCAAUUUCAAGGUUUUGACUUGAACAACUGGGAGAAUACCAGUCAGUUCUACUCUUUCAAAUUGAGCUAUCACCCAGGAAAAAAACAAACAGAUUCCGACUAUCCUGCAGUCCCACAGAAAACAGGAAGGACUUUGGAUUUUACUGAGUGACAUGAGAAGCAUGGAGGUUUUUGAGCAGAGGAGUGACAUACACAACCUGACAUGUUUUAGAAGGUCACUCUGCUAAUUAGAGAAUAGAUUGUAAGUGAACAAGGAUAAAUGUAAUAAAUUCAUUAAUAAACAAAAAAUUUGAAAAAAAAAAAAGGAUGGUAGAGAGAAGAUUCAUCAAACAGUUUUGCAAUAGUGCAGGAAAGAGAUAAUUUUGGAUGGAACCAAGGUGGUAACAGUGGGAGUAGUGAGAUGUGGUUAGAUUCUGGCUACAAAUUGAGAGAAGAAUUGACUGUUUGUUGAUAUGAGGGAUGAAAGGAGGAGCCAAGGAUUGCUUUAAGAUUUUGGCCUGAGCAACUGCCAAAUGGAGUUACCACCAUUUAUUGAAGUGGGAAAGACUACAGGAGAAGUAGGCUUGGGAAUGGGAUGAAAAAUUAAGUUGAAAAUUAAGUUUAUUUUUUUGGAAUGAUAAAGUUGAAAAGCCUAUUAAAUAUUAAGUGGCAGUUGUAGUCAUAAAGAUGGUGUUCAAAGGAGAGAUUAGGUUAGAGUUAUGAAAUAGAGAAUCAUCAGUACAGACAUGGUAUUUAAUUAUGUGCGACUGGAGGAGAUCACCAGUGGAAUGAGUAUAGAUGCUGAAGGUUUCUGAAGGCUAAGCUCUGGCCUGGUGUACAUUUGGAUGCUGAAGAUAUAGGUAGGAAACAAUGCAGGAGAUUGAGGUGGAGCAGUGAAUGAAGAACAUAAAGAACCAAAAACGAUAUUCAAGAAAAAAAUAUUUCAGGAAGGAAACCAUGAUCCUUAGGGUCAAAUGCUGCUGUUAGUCUAGUGGAUAAAUUAAGAGAAUUAACCCCAGGAUUAGCUGUGUGUGUGUGUGUGUGUGUAAGGAAUUGAAGUUCUUAGCAAGCAGUUUUUAAGGCAUGCUGGGAAGGAAAGACUGAUUGGUGUGAGUUCAAGAGAGAACAAGAAGACUGGAAGGGAAGACACUGCAUAGAGAUGACUCCUGUUGACUGUCGCUAUGAAAGGGAGCAGAGAACCAGGGAGUAGCUGAAGGCAGAAAUGAGGUUGAGAGACGGGCUCAAAGUGAGGUAGGCAACAGUGUGUUUGUAUGAAGAUAAGAAAAUUUAUUAUGUGAGAAAGCGAUGAAACAUUGAAGGAGGCAAAAUCCUUGAGAAGGUGCCAGAGGAUGGGCCUGAGAACACAAUAUAAGUGUUAAUCUCAGCCAGGACCAUGGAUAGUUCAUACAUGGCAACAGGAGGAAAUAAGAAGCCAUGUCAUCAGUUGAGAAGGAGAAGGAUUGUUGGAGAUUAAAAGUGGGAGGAGAAGCUGUGGAAUUCUUGUCUAGGAGAGAGGAAGACUGAAUGAACUAAGGAUAAUAGGAUGCAACGGCAUUACAAAGAGCCUCAUGUAGGUUAGUGACCACCUAUUUAAAGCGACACCAGUGAGCAGGGUUGUGGGUUUUCUCCAGCCAGGCUGAAGUUUCAGAGAGAAGAGCGUGCAUCCUCAGCUCUCUUCCUUUCCUUUUUUUUUUUUUUUUUUUUUCCUUGCAGUGCAUAAAGCUUUUGAAGCUCUUGGCUAUUUACUCCAAACUCUGAGGUGAAUUCCAGAUGGGAGCUGGGGGUUAAAGAGAGGCAGAGCUUUCUCUGGAAUGUAUGUUCUUCCUGCCAGUCAGCAUUCAUCUGGCAGGCCAGCCUUUGACUGCACUGGUAUUUUAAGCAUCCAAAUGUGUUCUAAGCCAGCCUGGCAGCCAUUCUAUGCAAUCCACGUCACUGACCUUUACACCAGAGGGGACUUAGGAACCUUGGGAAUCCUCAGUCAGCAGAGCCUUGUCUGAAUUGCAAUGGAAUCCAUUUGCUCAGGAACGCUAAUAAACUAGAUUCAGAGGUAGACAGAGUUGGAAUUUUCAUUAAAAGGAAUAGGGGUGUCAGGGAAGGAGGUAGCUGGAAAAGAGUAAAGUUUGGAUAUAAUUUAAAUAAAAUAGAUUUCAAAGAAAAUGUUCUUCCUCUGACCUCCAGCUCCCUAAAAUCUGCACAAAGUAAAUGAGACAUAAGCUUUGUCCUUAAUCUAGAUUUGUAGAUAUAUAUUGACGCCCUCAUCUCUGUAAGCUGGUCACUUCACUAAUCUCCAUAAAGUACUCAGAACAAUACCUGGUAGAUAAUAAAAGCUCAAUAUGUAUUAGAAAACAUAAUAAUAAUAAGGACACACAAUACUAUUAUUUUAUCAUUAUGUCUUGACUAAGGCUAAGGUGCUUCUUGCUUCUGUGUCUUUUUCUGGAUCAUGAAGAACACUUUAUUUAACUAAGCAGCAAAAAACUAAUAGAUAGAUUAAUGUGGCUCUUAUAAAAGGGUGACAUCCCCAUCUCAGAAAUACAACACAAAUGUGAUGUGAAGAUAAAAUUGAGUAGUGGGAAAUCACAAGGUUUUGAGAGAGAGAUGCCUUAGCUGCCUGCACUUAGCCAAGCAACUCAGCCUCCAAGAACCUUACUUUUCUGAUGUAUGAAAUGGAGAUAGUAACAACUCAUUCUUGAUAUUGUGUUCAGAGUUUAAUAAUCAAUAAAUGUAAAUGUAUUGUGAACAGUGUUGUGUAUAUAGCAUGUAUCCAACAAUGGUACCUGUGAUUAUUAGUUUUUUGGUGGAUCCUUCAGUGGGAAAAUCCUUCCUUUUCUCCAUGUACAGGAAUCUCUUUUUUAACCUUUUCAGGACCAACUUGAUGCCAGCCUCCACAAAAAUCCUAGUACAGAUUCUCUUAGUCAGAUUUAAUCUUUUUUCCCUCUGGGCUCUUAUCACCUUUUGCAUCUUUGCCCCUUCCCUGCCCCAAUUAAUCUCAGAAGUAUUUUUCUUUGCAGUCUGUCUCUAACCUAGAUUUAAAUUUUUUACUUAUCUCUGAAUUUUCUCAUCAUUUAGUAGAAAGGCUCAGAUGUAGGAGGCAUGUAACAAAUGUUUGUAGAAUUCAUUGAGAAUUCUCGCUAAUCUUCAAACCUGAGAAACUUAUAUACUUUUAGAAGGGGCUCCUUUCUCUUCCUAAAUUUCCCCAUCAGAAUUUUGGAAACAAUAUAGAGUCGUGAGUAAAUGUAUGGUGUCUGAAGUCAGUAGACCUCUCCUGGAAUCUCAUUUCAGCAAUCACAUCCUGUAUUUCCUGGUAUAUCAUAAGUAGCUAAUAUUAUGUUCUCUAUUAUUAUUAUUGUCAUUGAAGACAUUGUCAUCAUUAUCAACACAGAGACAAUGUCUAUCCUGCUUAUAAUCUAAAUAGGGAAGGAAAGCACAUAUGAAAUGUGACCAGAGCAUAGUACAAGACUGAUAUUUACUAGCCUUCACUUGACCUUGGAGCACAAAAAUAGUGUAGCUGGCUCCACUCACGAAAAGUUCACUCUGGAGUUCCCCUUUGGUUCAUCAGGUUAAGGAUCUGGCAUUAUCACUGCUUUGGCUCUGGUUACUGUUGUGGCUCAGGUUCUAUCCCUGGCCCUGGAACUUCUGCACACUGAAGGAAAAAAGCAAAAGGAUCACGCUCCAGGCAUGAUAGAAAGGAAACAAACUGUUUCUAGGUAGUUUACACUGCUUCCUGCGCCAGCUGAUCAAAGUAACUAGAGCAGAUAAGUGCCCAGUAAAGGCAGGAAAAAAAAAAAAAGAAUCCUAUUUCUGUGCUAGGGAUAAGAUAGCAUGUUAUAAAAGUGUAUGUAUAGAACUCUGAAGACAGGCAUUAGCUGUCAGAUCUCCAGUGACUGAGAGUCUCAGAACUGUUGUAGAAAAGUGACUGUGAAAAGGAAGGUCGGCCAAAGGAGGACCUUUCAGUCCUGUAAGCUGCCAAUGGGCUCUUUGCCAUAAUUGAAGUUCAUCCUGUUAACAUCCAAGAAGAGAGGAACUGAAUCUGUAACACAUGUGGGCAUAGGAUGUAAUAGAAAGAAAAAGAGAUUCUGUCCAGGAUUGAAUACUUACCAGCUCAGUGGCUUUUAUAAAUGACUUAAUCUCAGUGAAUUUCAGUUUCCUGAGGACUGUUGGGAGGAUUCAAGAUUGUGUAACAUUCCCAUGCUUACUAACUGGCAACUUCACCAUUGAGGACUCUAUCAUUGAAAAGCAACUAAAAAUUUUCAAAUUAGAGAAUAAUAAUCGAAACUAACCAUACACAAAAACAAUUUCAGUUAAAAUGCUCUGACUUGAGUUUUGAGUAUGGGCCUCCAAUGACUCUUCUUGUCCUGGAUCAAAACCUCAGGAGACAGUAAGUUGGCUUCUUUCUUUUUUAAAAAAUUAAAAAAAAUUUUAUUAAAGUAUAGUUGAUUUGCAAUGUUCCUUCAAUUUUUCUUGUACAGCAAAGUGACCCAGUCAUCAUGUGUAUGUUCACUCUUUUUUUUUUUUUUUUUUUGUUUAAUACUGUCUUUCUAUUCUGGGUCCAAUUCUAUACCCUAAAUCUCAGCUUAGAAAAUUCUUGAAAUUAUUCUUAGGGGCACUGAGCAAGGGGGUGGGAAGACAUCAAUGCCCACUGUUCCUACUAUAAAGGGAUUGCUCAAGGGCACAUGCCCCACUGAUGAUGGGUUAGUGAUGUCACCUUCCUACACAAAGGACAUUAUUAAUAUCACAGUGACUCACACUGUGUGGCUUUCCAGGCACUUGCUGGAGGGGAAGGGUGGGGAGAGAUCUAUGUAAAUUAGAAGGGAGGAGAGGGACUGAGACUUAGGUGAAAUAUUUUAAAUGGGGAAGUAGCACUCUCUUUAGCUUUGAGAGAAAAGAAACUUGGAAGUCACAUGAAAGGCAAGAGAGAGGGACAUUGAAGAGGGAGUUAGAAAAGGCAAAGGGGAGAAAUUAUUAAAGAAGGUAGAAAGCAGAAAGAGAGGAAAAAGUAGCCGGAUAAGAAGGUAGAAAAGGAGUGUUAUUUUUUACCUAGAAUUGAAAGGAUCAAGCUAUGGAGAUGGAUGAUAAAAGAAGAUUAAAGUUGUAAAAUAUAUACAGAGGUCAAAGUGUUCCUAGGAAGAGGUUUUUAGGAACAUUUAAGUCCGUGGUUUAUGAGAAUUUGAUGAUAUCCAUGGACAGAAACAAAGCAUAUAAAUUGCAAAUGUUGUAUACAGUUUCAUAGAGUGCAUAGAUUCCCUAAAGCCAACCUGUGGGUUCUCCUUCUAGGAGAUUCUGCCUUGUAUGUUCAGUGUUGAUUAUGACUUGAAAACCUUCUCUUUGGAAGCUCCAAAUUUCCUUUCCAGCCUGCACGGUGCUAAAAUGCCUUAAUAGCUUUUCAGGUCAAUCUCUUUGAAAUGGAAUGUCUUUGAGAGACAUCAGAACAUCAAAUUCCUAAUACUUUAUGUGAAAUAAUUUAUCAAAUUACUUUCCCUCUUAAUUAGAGAAACUAUAAUUGUCAUAAAGAGGAGCAAAAAAAAAAAAAAAAAAAA
rnacentral:lncRNA from 1 species